UGCCUCGUUAGCACAGUAAAUGGGCACAACUCAUUGGUGUCUGAAUUGAGCAAUGGGGCUACAGAAACACAGGUUAUGCUUCCAUCACUGUAAAACAAAUUACUCUGGUGACAAUGAGACCUGUAACAAAC